rnacentral:rRNA from 1 species
CCUACGGGAGGCAGCAGUGAGGAAUAUUGGUCAAUGGACGAGAGUCUGAACCAGCCAAGUAGCGUGAAGGAUGACUGCCCUAUGGGUUGUAAACUUCUUUUAUAAAGGAAUAAAACGAGGCACGUGUGCCUUUUUGCAUGUACUUUAUGAAUAAGGAUCGGCUAACUCCGUGCCAGCAGCCGCUGUAAUACGGAGGAUCCGAGCGUUAUCCGGAUUUCUUGGGUUUAAAGGGAGCGUAGAUGGGUUGUUAAGUCAGUUGUGAAAGUUUGCGGCUCAACCGUAAAAUUGCAAUUGAUACUGGCAGUCUUGAGUACAGUUGAGGUAGGCGGAAUUCGUGGUGUAGCGGUGAAAUGCUUAGAUAUCACGAAGAACCCCGAUUGCGAAGGCAGCUUACUAAACUGUGACUGACAUUGAUGCUCGAAAGUGUGGGUAUCAAACAGGAUUAGAUACCCCUGUAGUC